CCUAAAGGCGCAAUGAAAGUAAAGGUCGUCCUUGUGUCGACUGAGGGAGGAUGAGUUACAUUACGAUGUCGGCUCCGCACUCCCGGGGCGUCUCAUUCUCAUUAUGAGAAGAGGCGCACCUAGAGCGUACACGUUGGGACCCGAAAGAUGGUGAACUAUGCCUGGUCAGGAUGAAGUCAGGGGAAACCCUGAUGGAGGUCCGUAGCGAUUCUGACGUGCAAAUCGAUCGUCGGAACUGGGUAUAGGGGCGAAAGACUAAUCGAACCAUCUAGUAGCUGGUUCCCUCCGAAGUUUCCCUCAGGAUAGCUGGCACUCGUUAUAUAAUAAUAUAUUAUAAACGAGUCUCAUCUGGUAAAGCGAAUGAUUAGAGGCCUUGGGGUCGAAACGACCUCAACCUAUUCUCAAACUUUAAAUGGGUGAGAUCUCUGGCUUGCUUGGAUUUUAUAUUUUUAUUAAUGUAAUUAUGAAGCCAUGAGAUUUCGGAUCAGAGUGCCAAGUGG
rnacentral:rRNA from 1 species